rnacentral:rRNA from 2 species
UGCGUAGGCGGCUUUUUAAGUCGGAUGUGAAAUCCCUGAGCUUAACUUAGGAAUUGCAUUCGAUACUGGGAAGCUAGAGUAUGGGAGAGGAUGGUAGAAUUCCAGGUGUAGCGGUGAAAUGCGUAGAGAUCUGGAGGAAUACCGAUGGCGAAGGCAGCCAUCUGGCCUAAUACUGACGCUGAGGUACGAAAGCAUGGGGAGCAAACA